rnacentral:lncRNA from 1 species
CUCCUGUGGAGUAAAGGUAAGCAUGUUUUAGUUUCUGGAGUAUUAUAUUAUACAUUGGAGCUAGACAUUUAAGACUCUUUGGGGGUGGAUUGGGAGACUCAUAUUACUGGCAGUGUUUGGCCAAUAAUCAAGGUGAUAGUUUUAAGCAUUGGGUCAUGUUCUGUAAGCUCCUGCUUAUCUAGACUUGAAGCUAUCACAAAGCCCAAACAGCCGGGAAACCCAGCUCUGUCUCCCUACCCCAAGUCUCAUGAGAAAGAGAUGAAAUUGUCAGCCAGUAUACUCGAAAAGAAUCAACAGACAAUGUCAUGGAAUGAAUCUUAAAUAUUUUCCCCCUUACAUUAUUAAAAAGUAAUGGGAUUUUAAAGCAUUGCAAGAUUCUGAAGUUCCAUGGAGAAAGGUGAAAAUCAUUUGAUGAGUUUAGUGUUGAUAAAGAAUUGUGAACGUGUAGUAAUCUCAGUUAACCAGAAUCUUAACCUCUAGGUAGAACAGUGUUUAUCCUACAAAGUUGAUUGAGAGUUUAUUUUAAAAGCAAAAAUACAAGAUGUCAUUCUUGCUUGGGAAUGAAAUGAAAAGGGGAAAUUUUGGGUUAAACAUUUAAAGUUUGUUAAAAAAUUCUCAUGUUUAUUAGCUAUUAGAUUUCAACUCAGUUGUCCUUUUUAGUCAUUUAGGUUCAUUCAAAGUAUGAAGAAAUAAGAUCUGAUACAUUAGCUCUUAGAAGAAUUUUUUUUUUUAUUGACUUACUAAAAGUUUGUCAAGCCAUUUCCAGGGGUAUUUUUUUUUAAUACAGAUUCUAAAAUGAUACCAUGUGAUAUCUAGUUGCAAAAAAUGAACCCCUCCCUGUUUUAGGUAACUGCUG